GACGAACGCUGGCGGCGUGCUUAACACAUGCAAGUCGAACGGAAAGGCCCUGCUUUUGUGGGGUGCUCGAGUGGCGAACGGGUGAGUAACACGUGAGUAACCUGCCCUUGACUUUGGGAUAACUUCAGGAAACUGGGGCGAAUACCGGAUAGGAGCUCCUGCUGCAUGGUGGGGGUUGGAAAGUUUCGGCGGUUGGGGAUGGACUCGCGGGUUAUCAGCUUGUUGGUGGGGUAGUGGCUUACCAAGGCUUUGAAGGGUAGCCGGCCUGAGAGGGUGACCGGCCACAAUGGGCCUGCGAUACGGCCCAGACGCCAACGGGCGGCAGCAGUGGGGAAUAUUGCAGAAUGGGGGGAAGCCUGAUGCAGCAACCCCGCGUGCGGGAUGACGGCCUUCGGGUUAUAAACCGCUUUCGCCUGUGACGAAGCGUGAGUGACGGUAAUGGGUAAAGAAGCACCGGCUAACUACGUG
rnacentral:rRNA from 1 species